rnacentral:rRNA from 1 species
AUUGAACGCUGGCGGCAUGCCUUACACAUGCAAGUCGAACGGUAACGGGCCUUCGGGUGCCGACGAGUGGCGAACGGGUGAGUAAUACAUCGGAACGUGCCCGAUCGUGGGGGAUAACGAGGCGAAAGCUUUGCUAAUACCGCAUACGAUCUACGGAUGAAAGCAGGGGACCGCAAGGCCUUGCGCGGACGGAGCGGCCGAUGGCAGAUUAGGUAGUUGGUGGGAUAAAAGCUUACCAAGCCGACGAUUUGUAGCUGGUCUGAGAGGAUGAUCAGCCACACUGGGACUGAGACACGGCCCAGACUCCUACGGGAGGCAGCAGUGGGGAAUUUUGGACAAUGGGCGCAAGCCUGAUCCAGCCAUGCCGCGUGCAGGAUGAAGGCCUUCGGGUUGUAAACUGCUUUUGUACGGAACGAAAAGCCUUCUUUUAAUACAGGAGGGUCAUGACGGUACCGUAAGAAUAAGCACCGGCUAACUACGUG